rnacentral:rRNA from 1 species
GACGAACGCUGGCGGCGUGCCUAAUACAUGCAAGUCGAACGCAGUGGGGACGGGUGAGUAACACGUGGGUAACCUCCCAUCAGAGGGGAUAACACUUGGAAACAGGUGCUAAACCGACACUGAUGGAUGAACUCGCGGUGCAUUAGCUAGUUGGUGAGGUAACGGCUCACCACAGCCACGAUGCUAAGCCGACCUGAGAGGAUGAUCGGCCACACUGGGACUGAGACACAGCCCAGGCUCCUACGGGAGGCAGCAGUAGGGAAUCUUCGGCAAUGGGCGAAAGUCUGACCGGGCGACACCGCGUGAGUGAAGAAGGUUUUCGGAUCGUAAAUCUCUGUUGUUAGAGAAGCGGUAUCUAACCAGAAAGCCACGGCUAACUACGUGCCAGCAGCCGCGGUAAUUC